CCUUAACUGACGCUAAUGCUCGAAAGUGCGGGUAUCGAACAGGAUUAGAUACCCUGGUAGUCCGCACGGUAAACGAUGGAUGCCCGCUGUUGGCGAUACAGUGUCAGCGGCCAAGCGAAAGCGUUAAGCAUCCCACCUGGGGAGUACGCCGGCAACGGUGAAACUCAAAGGAAUUGACGGGGGCCCGCACAAGCGGAGGAACAUGUGGUUUAAUUCGAUGAUACGCGAGGAACCUUACCCGGGCUUGAACUGCAGGAGAACGAUUCAGAGAUGAUGAGGUCCUUCGGGACUCCUGUGGAGGUGCUGCAUGGUUGUCGUCAGCUCGUGCCGUGAGGUGUCGGCUUAAGUGCCAUAACGAGCGCAACCCCUUUCUUCAGUUGCCAUCAGGUUAUGCUGGGCACUCUGGAGACACUGCCACCGUAAGGUGUGAGGAAGGUGGGGAUGAGGUCAAAUCAGCACGGCCCUUACGUCCGGGGCUACACACGUGUUACAAUGGGUGGUACAGAGAGCGGGCUGCCUGCAAAGUCAGCCGAAUCAUGAAAGCCAUCCUCAGUUCGGAUUGGGGUCUGCAACCCGACCCCAUGAAGCUGGAUUCGCUAGU
rnacentral:rRNA from 1 species